rnacentral:rRNA from 1 species
GUACCCGCUUGACUUAAGCAUAUCAAUAAGCGGAGGAAAAGAAACCAACAGGGAUUGCCCCAGUAACGGCGAGUGAAGCGGCAACAGCUCAAAUUUGAAAUCUGGCUCCCCCCUGGGGGGGCCCGAGUUGUAAUUUGGAGAGGAUGCUUUGGGCGCGGCGCCUUCCGAGUUCCUUGGAACAGGACGCCAGAGAGGGUGAGAGCCCCGUACGGUCGGACGCCUAGCCCGUGUAAAGCUCCUUCGACGAGUCGAGUAGUUUGGGAAUGCUGCUCAAAAUGGGAGGUAAAUUUCUUCUAAAGCUAAAUACCGGCCAGAGACCGAUAGCGCACAAGUAGAGUGAUCGAAAGAUGAAAAGCACUUUGAAAAGAGGGUUAAACAGCACGUGAAAUUGUUGAAAGGGAAGCGCCUGUGGCCAGACGUGCGCCCCGCGGACCACCCGUCGCUCUGCGGCGGGGCACGCCGCGGCGGCGCAGGCCAGCAUCGGCUCUCCCAGGGGGACAAAGGUCGCGGGAACGUAGCUCCUUCGGGAGUGUUAUAGCCCGCGGCGCCAUGCCUCUGGGGGGGCCGAGGACCGCGCCUUCGGGCAAGGAUGCUGGCGUAAUGGCCACCAGCGACCCGUCUUGAAACACGGACCAAGGAGUCAAGCAUUGGGGCGAGUGUUUGGGUGACAAACCCGCACGCGAAAUGAAAGUGAACGCAGGUGGGAGCCUUCGGGCGCACCACCGACCGAUCCUGAUGUUUUCGGAUGGAUUUGAGUAGGAGCCUUGCCGCUUGGACCCGAAAGAUGGUGAACUAUGCCUGUAUAGGGUGAAGCCAGAGGAAACUCUGGUGGAGGCUCGCAGCGGUUCUGACGUGCAAAUCGAUCGUCAAAUAUGGGCAUGGGGGCGAAAGACUAAUCGAACCAUUCUUGAUGCGU